AGUCAAUUCCACUAAUUCUACUGAAGUACCAUCAGGUGGCUCUAGGAGACAGUCUCCUGUGGUGGGAAUGGGAGAGGUAACUGUCCAGGCCCUUUGUGAGCUCAUCCCACCUCCUGAAACUGGGGGAGUGGAGCCAACAAGGUAAGGCAUCAAGUUGUGGCUCCUGGCAGGGUCUCACUAAAUUUUGUACCAGAUCACAUUUGUGGGGCUUCAUUAAUCGUUCCACCCCUCCUCCUCCCAUGGGAAUCUACAGAGAGUAGGGAUUUUGUCACAGUUUCUACUGUGCCCAAGGCCCUGAGGGUAUCAGGAUUUGGCUUCAGGGUGGCUAAAGGCUGCCUGAGCCAGUCAUGCCUCCACAGUCUCUGGAACUGUUGAACUGAGGCCAUCUGGGAGAGGAGCCAGCCUCAUUCACCAGGAUGGACCACUGCCAAUUCAUCUCCAUGUGAUCUGAAGCCAUGACGGAUGUCUGAGCCAUCAUGGAUAGCUGGACCCCAGAAUAGCUGGACCCCAGAAACUGAUUAUUCUCAGAAAUCCUCAUCUCCAGAUCUGUUGCUCAUCUAGCCACUCUGACUUCCCUGCAGCCCACUGAGACUCCAUGUUGCAUGGAAAGCCCAGUGAAUCCUACCCAGGAGCUACAACCCAACAAGAAUAGUAUAGAGUCCUGUAUCCCUUGGUGAGGCUGGUCAAAAUCAGGCCAGAGAUGAGAAGCAAAGACUGCAGCCAGGGAGCUAAGGGGACACACAGAGCUCUUCCCAGGGCCUGCAGAAUGAGCAGAAUUUCAGGUUCCUGGUGUGGGAUGAGUUCAACUAAAAUCUUUAUUCAGUUAGAAUAAAAAUAUAAACUAGGAA